AGAGUUUGAUCCUGGCUCAGGACGAACGCUGGCGGCGUGCUUAAUGCAUGCAAGUCGAACGAAGAACCCGCUAUGGGUAACCACUGCGGAAUUCUUAGUGGCGAACGGGUGAGUAACACGUGAGAAACCUGCCCCGGAGACCGGAAUAGCCCAGGGAAACCUGGAUUAAUACCGGAUACCCUCCGACGAUCGCAUGAUCGACGGAGGAAAUGGUCCGCCGCUCCGGGAUGGUCUCGCGGCCUAUCAGUUAGUUGGUGAGGUAACGGCUCACCAAGACUACGACGGGUAGCUGGUCUGAGAGGACGAUCAGCCACACUGGGACUGAGACACGGCCCAGACUCCUACGGGAGGCAGCAGCAGGGAAUUUUGCACAAUGGGCGCAAGCCUGAUGCAGCGACGCCGCGUGGGGGAUGAAUGCCUUCGGGUUGUAAGCCCCUUUCAGGAGGGACGAAGCGAAAGUGACGGUACCUCCAGAAGAAGCCCCGGCCAACUACGUGCCAGCAGCCGCGGUAAUACGUAGGGGGCGAGCGUUGUCCGGAUUUAUUGGGCGUAAAGAGCUCGUAGGCGGCUCAGCAAGUCGGCCGUGAAAGCCUGAGGCUCAACCUCAGGACGCCGGUCGAAACUGCUGUGGCUAGGGUUCGGUAGAGGAGAGUGGAAUUCCCGGUGUAGCGGUGAAAUGCGCAGAUAUCAGGAAGAACACCGGUAGCGAAGGCGGCUUUCUGGGCUGCUACUGACGCUGAGGCACGAAAGCGUGGGGAGCGAACAGGAUUAGAUACCCUGGUAGUCCACGCCGUAAACGAUGAUCACUCGUUGUAUGCCUGUAUUUGGUAUGCGACUGAGCGAAAGCAUUAAGUGAUCCACCUGGGGAGUACGUCGGCAACGAUGAAACUCAAAGGAAUUGACGGGGGCCCGCACAAGCGGUGGAACAUGUGGUUUAAUUCGAUGAUACGCGAGGAACCUUACCUGGGCUUAAAUGUAGAACGACUUUCGCCGAAAGACGAUUUUCCUUCGGGACGAUCUACAAGGUGCUGCAUGGUUGUCGUCAGCUCGUGCCGUGAGGUGUCGGGUUAAGUCCCAUAACGAGCGCAACCCCUAUUGUUAGUUACCAGCGGAUAAUGCCGGGGACUCUAGCGAGACUGCCACCGUAAGGUGUGAGGAAGGUGGGGAUGACGUCAAAUCAGCACGGCCCUUAUGUCCAGGGCUACACACGUGUUACAAUGGCCAGUACAGAGGGCAGCUACCUGGUGACAGGAUGCAAAUCUCACAAAACUGGUCUCAGUUCGGAUCGGAGUCUGCGACUCGACUCCGUGAAGUUGGAAUCGCUAGUAAUCGCGUAUCAGCAACGACGCGGUGAAUACGUUCCCGGGCCUUGUACACACCGCCCGUCAAGCCAUGGAAGCUGGGGGUACCUGAAGUCUGUAACCGUAAGGAGCGGCCUAGGGUAAAACUAGUGACUGGGGCUAAGUCGUAACAAGGUAACC
rnacentral:rRNA from 1 species